rnacentral:rRNA from 1 species
AGUGAACGCUGGCGGUAGGCCUAACACAUGCAAGUCGAACGGCAGCACAGUAAGAGCUUGCUCUUACGGGUGGCGAGUGGCGGACGGGUGAGGAAUACAUCGGAAUCUACUUUUUCGUGGGGGAUAACGUAGGGAAACUUACUCUAAUACCGCAUACGACCUACGGGUGAAAGCAGGGGAUCUUCGGACCUUGCGCGAUUGAAUGAGCCGAUGUGGGAUUAGCUAGUUGGCGGGGUAAAGGCCCACCAAGGCGACGAUCCGUAGCUGGUCUGAGAGGAUGAUCAGCCACACUAGAACUGAGACACGGACCAGACUCCUACGGGAGGCAGCAGUGGGGAAUAUUGGACAAUGGGCGCAAGCAUGAUCCAGCCAUACCGCGUGGGUGAAGAAGGCCUUCGGGUUGUAAAGCCCUUUUGUUGGGAAAGAAAAGCAGCAGGUUAAUACCCCGCUGUUCUGACGGUACCCAAAGAAUAAGCACCGGCUAACUUCGUG